GACGAACGCUGGCGGCGUGCCUAAUACAUGCAAGUAGAACGCACAGUUUAUACCGUAGCUUGCUACACCAUAGACUGUGAGUUGCGAACGGGUGAGUAACGCGUAGGUAACCUGCCUGGUAGCGGGGGAUAACUAUUGGAAACGAUAGCUAAUACCGCAUAAUAUUAAUUAUUGCAUGAUAAUUAAUUGAAAGGUGCAAUUGCACCACUACCAGAUGGACCUGCGUUGUAUUAGCUAGUAGGUGAGGUAACGGCUCACCUAGGCGACGAUACAUAGCCGACCUGAGGGUGAUCGGCCACACUGGGACUGAGACACGGCCCAGACUCCUACGGGAGGCAGCAGUAGGGAAUCUUCGGCAAUGGACGAAAGUCUGACCGAGCAACGCCGCGUGAGUGAAGAAGGUUGUCGGAUCGUAAAGCUCUGUUGUAAGAGAAGAACGGGUGUGAGAGUGGAAAGUUCACACUGUGACGGUAUCUUACCAGAAAGGGACGGCUAACUACGUG
rnacentral:rRNA from 1 species